rnacentral:rRNA from 1 species
UACGUAGGUGGCAAGCGUUGUCCGGAUUUACUGGGCGUAAAGGGCGUGCAGGCGGUUUUUUAAGUCUAGGGUGAAAGCUCCCGGCUCAACUGGGAGAGGUCCUUGGAUACUGGAAAACUUGAGGGAUGCAGAGGAAAGUGGAAUUCCCGGUGUAGUGGUGAUAUGCGUAGAUAUCAGGAGGAACACCCGAGGCGAAGGCGGCUCUCUGGGUCGUACCUGACGCUGAGGCGCGAAAGCGUGGGGAGCGAACGGG